CAAUAGCGUAUAUUAAAGUUGUUGCAGUUAAAAAGCUCGUAGUUGGAUUCCUGGUGGGAGCGAUCGGUCUGGCGCUUAGCGCGAGUACUUGCAUCGUCUCCGGCCAUCCUUGGGGAAAGUCUGUCUGGCAUUAAGUUGUCGGGCAGAGGAUCCUCAUCGUUUACUGUGAAAAAAUUAGAGUGUUCAAAGCAGGCUUAUGCCGUUGAAUAUAUUAGCAUGGAAUAAUAAGAUAGGACUUUGGUACUAUUUUGUUGGUUUGCGCACCAAAGUAAUGAUUAAUAGGGACAGUUGGGGGUAUUCGUAUUCCGUUGUCAGAGGUGAAACUCUUGGAUUUACGGAAGACGAACUACUGCGAAAGCAUUUACCAAGGAUGUUUUCAUUAA
rnacentral:rRNA from 1 species